ACACAACUUCUGCAAAAGCUGGUCGAUGUGUACGAUCAAAUGGAAAACAACCAACUGGCUGGACAAGAUUCUCGUGGAUAAAGUGAUGGUUCUAUGGUUAUAAGAUCCGCAUGGAUCAAUUCUCAGAGUGGGAAGAGACCUAAGAAAUCAUGAGAUCCUUGCAAAGUUCUAGCGAUUCUUCCUCCCCCAGUAGCAAGAUCCAUGUCGUGGUCGUUCCCCUGCCCGCGCAAGGCCAUAUGUCCCCAAUGAUCCAUCUCUGCAAGCUCAUCGCUCGAGAUCCAAGCUUCACGAUCUCCUUGGUCAAUGUGGCUCGGCUUGACCACCGAGAAAGUAAGCUUGGGGAGUGGAGUCCCACGAGACUGUGUUCUCCACAGGAACAGCGUCAAACAUUCGUUUCGCGUCCUCCACGCGCCCAUUUGCCCCAUAGGCCGUGACAAUGGUAUUCCACGAGAAGAGGUUCCACGGCGGCAUCUUCCGAGACGGGGACUGCGAGAGUUCUAUCCCCGCAAUCUCGCCAUAAGCCUGCACCAUUCCAUUCCAGGUCCUGUGAAGCAUGGAAUGAAACAUACCGAUCGCCUCGUCCAUGCUCCCGUGGCGAAUGCUCGAGGAGAUGACGACGUUCCAGCAGAAAGCUUCCCAGUUGAGCACCUUUUCCAGAAGCUUUCUCGAGGAAGAAAGACGUCCUUUUUCCGCAAAUAGAGCCACGAAGGCCGUCCAAGAAAGAACGUUCCUUUUCCGCAUUCCUCCAAACACUUGGACCAGGCCCUGGAGCUCACCGUGCUGCGCAUACGCAUUGUGUUCCAGGAGGUGAGUGCCUUCUCCGUCAUCAUUGACUACGUCCGAGGAGUGAAGCCCCUCCGCCUGGCCGAUGUGCCCGAUUACAUGCAGGGCGAGAAGGUGUGGAAGGAGAUUUGCAUCAAACGCUCCCCCGUCGUGAAGCGCGCGCGAUGGGUCCUCGUCAAUUCCUUCUACGACCUCGAGGCGCCCACCUUCGAUUUCAUGGCCAGCGAGCUCGGACCUAGAUUUAUCCCCGCGGGGCCACAGUUUUUGCUCGACGAUUCCAGGAAGAAUGUGGUGCUUCGCCCCGAGAACGAGGAUUGCCUUGGCUGGAUGGAUGAGCAGGAGCCUGGAUCGGUGCUCUACAUCUCGUUUGGCAGCGUCGCGGUGCUGAGCGUGGAGCAAUUCGAGGAGCUCGCGGGAGCUCUCGAGGCAUCGAAGAAGCCAUUCUUGUGGGUGAUUCGACCUGAGCUGGUGGUGGGUGGUCACUCGAACGAAUCUUACAAUGGGUUUUGCGAGAGGACCAAGAACCAGGGAUUCAUCGUUUCCUGGGCGCCACAGCUGAGAGUUCUCGCCCAUCCCUCCAUGGGAGCGUUUCUCACGCACUGCGGAUGGAAUUCCGUCCAGGAGAGCAUCGCUAAUGGCAUUCCAAUGCUGGGGUGGCCUUACGGGGGCGAGCAAAGCACCAACUGUAAGUUCAUAGUGGAGGACUGGAAGAUCGGGGUUAGAUUCUCCAAGACUGGUGCAGGGAUUGAUCGAGCGAGGAGAGAUUGAGGCCGGCAUAAAAAAGGUGAUGGAUAGCGAGGAGGGGAAGAAGAUGAAGAAGAGAGUGGAGAACUUGAAGAUCCUUGCGAGGAAAGCUAUGGACAAAGAGAAUAGGAAGUCGUUUCGUGGCCUCCAGGGAUGGCUGGAAGAUCUCAAAGCUAUGACUGGAACAAUGAAAAGUCACACUUGCCCGAAUAAACACAACUUCUGCAAAAGCUGGUCGAUGUGUACGAUCAAAUGGAAAACAACCAACUGGCUGGACAAGAUUCUCGUGGAUAAAGUGAUGGUUCUAUGGUUAUAAGAUCCGCAUGGAUCAAUUCUCAGAGUGGGAAGAGACCUAAGAAAUCAUGAGAUCCUUGCGAAGUUCUAGCGAUUCUUCCUCCCCCAGUAGCAAGAUCCAUGUCGUGGUCGUUCCCCUGCCCGAG
rnacentral:lncRNA from 1 species